GCCACUGUAGUUCAGUCGGUAGAGCAACGCAUUCGUAACGCGUAGGUCACGAGUUCGAGUCUCGUCAGUGGCU
rnacentral:tRNA from 1 species